CCGAGUUUACAACUCCCAAACCCCUGUGAACAUACCAGCUUGUUGCCUCGGCGGAUCAGCCCGCUCCCGGUAAAACGGGACGGCCCGCCAGAGGACCCCUAAACUCUGUUUCUAUAUGUAACUUCUGAGUAAAACCAUAAAUAAAUCA
rnacentral:misc_RNA from 1 species